GGGCCCAUGGUCUAGCCCGGUAUGACACAUCCUUGACGUGGAUGGGAUCGUAGGUUCAAAUCCUGCUGGGCCCA
rnacentral:tRNA from 1 species